GUGUCCAAGGGAGGGGAGGAGUGAAGGGAGGGUCAGCGGAGGAAUACAGGGAGGGAGAGGAACGAAGGAGAAGCAGUUAGAGGAGAUCCACUCACAGGAUUCUGCGUUGUUGAUUUGUGUGUGGAAGUAUCGUGGGUUUUGCCUGCCUCCAUUGUUGCUCGUCUGCUGAAAUAAGAAGUGGCUCUGCUGGAUGUGAGGAAGGAAAUCACAUUCUGCAGGAAAGUGAACAUUUCCAUCAUUGGCCUGGUGGAGAACAUGACCACCUUUGUGUGCCCCAAGUGUAAGACCAAGACGGCCGUCUUCCCUGCCACUACUGGGAUGUGACCCCCAGCUGGCAGAGGAUACUGAGAUGCCACUGCUUGGCCAGCUGCCGCUGGACCCCCGGGUGGCCCAGGCGUGUGAUGAAGGCACCAACAUUCCGACACAAGAGCCAGAUGCUGCUGUCACUCAGGCAUACAAAGACAUUGCAAACAAAAUCAAGGAGUACUGUGACACACAGUCCCAAGAAGCCACUUGACCUGCAGCGGUAGCAGCAGCAGCAGCAGCAGUCAUCACCACACUAACCAACACAUUCUACAGAAAAGUCUUGUUAUUCAUGCAGAGGUUUAUUUUACAUUUACUUCUUAAAUCCAUAUUAUUAACAUCA